UACGUAGGGUGCGAGCGUUAAUCGGAAUUACUGGGCGUAAAGCGUGCGCAGGCGGUUUUGUAAGACAGAUGUGAAAUCCCCGGGCUCAACCUGGGAACUGCGUUUGUGACUGCAAGACUAGAGUGUGUCAGAGGGGGGUGGAGUUCCGCGUGUAGCAGUGAAAUGCGUAGAGAUGCGGAGGGACACCGAUGGCGAAGGCAGCCCCCUGGGAUAACACUGACGCUCAUGCACGAAAGCGUGGGGAGCAAACAGGAUUAGAAACCCCAGUAGU
rnacentral:rRNA from 1 species